CCUCAUUCGUUACGGCGUCUCUUGCUGACCUCCUAUGAAGCCAGUAGUGGUGGCAUUGCAUUAUGCGGUGAGGGGAAACAGAAGGCUCCGAGAAGUAAACGCUUUCGAGGUAGAGAGUGUCAUCCAGUCAUACCUCCGGCACGCAAACUGAGUGUAAUUGAAAGUUGGACGUAGUAAAUAAAAUUUGCCAGAGCACUA